AUCACUUCUCGGCCUUUUGGCUAAGAUCAAGUGUAGGGGGAAAUAUGUAAAUAGUUGAAGAUCUGGACAAAAUUCAGCACAACUCAUUGAGACCAUUUUUGUUUUGGGCAGGUUAAUAAAAUGGGAAUUUCACUGAUAAGCCACACCUCACUAUGUUGUGAUAUUCUUUGUUACAAUGAACUUUUAUAUUUGGGGGAAGUAAA
rnacentral:snRNA from 1 species